GCGCCCAUAGCUCAAUUGGAUAGAGCGAAUGGCUUCGGACCAUUAGGUUGGGGGUUCGAGUCCCUCUGGGCGCA
rnacentral:tRNA from 1 species